GCGAAUUUCAACUAAGCUUUUGCAAUUCCAAACAAUCAACACCUUCAGAUGCUCCGACUUUGAAAGGUCUAGUACUCGAAUGUGCUUGCGCCCAGAGAUACCCAAAUUUACCAAGGAUCCCAAUUUUUCAAGGCCUUGUAUCGCAUGGAGUUUAUCUGCCUUUUCAUCAAAGUCGUCGAAGUCUCUGGAUAGGCGCAACACUCUUAGGGAUUUCAAAGCUUCCAAUCCAUCCAAUUCCUUCAGCCCAUAGCAAUCCGCGAGCCCUAAUUCCGACAAAAAUUCCAAAUCGGAAAGACUUGGCAACCUUUCCAAUUUGGGGCAUCCCCAAACGAUAAGCUUCUGUAUGCAGGAAGGAAGCUCUGGGAUGCUCUGAAGAGACGUGCAAGAAAAAAGCGAGAGCUCCUUCAGAUGCUUGAGGUGAGAGAGCGAUGGCAGCUCAUUGCUCCGACAGGUGAGCCACGGGGAUGAUAAGCUAACAGGAAGUUUUGGGAGUGACUGAAGCUCUCUACAGU